ACGGGAGGCAGCAGUGGGGAAUAUUGCACAAUGGGGGAAACCCUGAUGCAGCGACGCCGCGUGAGUGAAGAAGUAUUUCGGUAUGUAAAGCUCUAUCAGCAGGGAAGAAAAUGACGGUACCUGACUAAGAAGCCCCGGCUAACUACGUGCCAGCAGCCGCGGUAAUACGUAGGGGGCAAGCGUUAUCCGGAUUUACUGGGUGUAAAGGGAGCGUAGACGGCUAGUCAAGUCUGAAGUGAAAUCCCCGGGCUCAACCCGGGAACUGCUUUGGAAACUGAUGAGCUAGAGUGCAGGAGGGGCAGGCGGAAUUCCUAGUGUAGCGGUGAAAUGCGUAGAUAUUAGGAGGAACACCGGUGGCGAAGGCGGCCUGCUGGACUGUAACUGACGUUGAGGCUCGAAAGCGUGGGGAGCAAACAGGAUUAGAUACCCUGGUA
rnacentral:rRNA from 1 species